rnacentral:rRNA from 1 species
UACGAAGGGGGCUAGCGUUGCUCGGAAUCACUGGGCGUAAAGGGUGCGUAGGCGGGUUUUUAAGUCAGGGGUGAAAUCCUGGAGCUCAACUCCAGAACUGCCUUUGAUACUGAAGAUCUCGAGUCCGGGAGAGGUGAGUGGAACUGCGAGUGUAGAGGUGAAAUUCGUAGAUAUUCGCAAGAACACCAGUGGCGAAGGCGGCUCACUGGCCCGGUACUGGCGCUGAGGUGCGAAAGCCAGGGGAGCGAACGGG